rnacentral:rRNA from 1 species
ACUCAAAGGAAUUGACGGGGGCCCGCACAAGCGGUGGAGCAUGUGGUUUAAUACGUUACUAACCGUAGAACCUUACCAGGGUUUGACAUGUGCUGAAAUCCUAUGAAAGUAGGCUUCCUCGCAAGAGGACAGCAACACAGGUGUUGCAUGGCUGUCGUCAGCUCGUGUCGUGAGAUGUUGGGUUAAGUCCCGCAACGAGCGCAACCCUCAUCCCAUGUUGCCAGCGAGUAAAGUCGGGAACUCUUGGGAAACUGCCGGGGUAACUCGGAGGAAGGUGAGGAUGACGUCAAGUCAGCAUGGCCCUUACAUCCUGGGCUACACACAUGCUACAAUGGACGGUAUACAGAGGGAUCCGAGGGGGCGACCCGGAGGCAAUCUCAGAAAUCCGUUCUCAGUUCGGAUCGCAGGCUGCAACUCGCCUGCGUGAAGCCGGAAUCGCUAGUAACCGCAGGUCAGCUAAACUGCGGUGAAUACGUUCCCGGGCCUUGUACACACCGCCCGU